rnacentral:rRNA from 1 species
GAUGAACGCUGGCGGCGUGCCUAAUACAUGCAAGUCGAACGCUUCACUUCGGUGAAGAGUGGCGAACGGGUGAGUAAUACAUAAGUAACCUGGCAUCUACAGGGGGAUAACUGAUGGAAACGUCAGCUAAGACCGCAUAGGUGUAGAGAUCGCAUGAACUCUAUAUGAAAAGUGCUACGGGACUGGUAGAUGAUGGACUUAUGGCGCAUUAGCUUGUUGGUAGGGUAACGGCCUACCAAGGCGACGAUGCGUAGCCGACCUGAGAGGGUGACCGGCCACACUGGGACUGAGACACGGCCCAGACUCCUACGGGAGGCAGCAGUAGGGAAUUUUCGGCAAUGGGGGAAACCCUGACCGAGCAACGCCGCGUGAAGGAAGAAGUAAUUCGUUAUGUAAACUUCUGUCAUAGAGGAAGAACGGUGGAUAUAGGGAAUGAUAUCCAAGUGACGGUACUCUAUAAGAAAGCCACGGCUAACUACGUGCCAGCAGCCGCGGUAAUACGUAGGUGGCGAGCGUUAUCCGGAAUUAUUGGGCGUAAAGAGGGAGCAGGCGGCACUAAGGGUCUGUGGUGAAAGAUCGAAGCUUAACUUCGGUAAGCCAUGGAAACCGUAGAGCUAGAGUGUGUGAGAGGAUCGUGGAAUUCCAUGUGUAGCGGUGAAAUGCGUAGAUAUAUGGAGGAACACCAGUGGCGAAGGCGACGAUCUGGCGCAUAACUGACGCUCAGUCCCGAAAGCGUGGGGAGCAAAUAGGAUUAGAUACCCUAGUAGUCCACGCCGUAAACGAUGAGUACUAAGUGUUGGGUGUCAAAGCUCAGUGCUGCAGUUAACGCAAUAAGUACUCCGCCUGAGUAGUACGUUCGCAAGAAUGAAACUCAAAGGAAUUGACGGGGGCCCGCACAAGCGGUGGAGCAUGUGGUUUAAUUCGAAGCAACGCGAAGAACCUUACCAGGUCUUGACAUCGAUCUAAAGGCUCCAGAGAUGGAGAGAUAGCUAUAGAGAAGACAGGUGGUGCAUGGUUGUCGUCAGCUCGUGUCGUGAGAUGUUGGGUUAAGUCCCGCAACGAGCGCAACCCCCGUUGCCAGUUGCCAGCAUUAAGUUGGGGACUCUGGCGAGACUGCCGGUGACAAGCCGGAGGAAGGCGGGGAGGACGUCAAAUCAUCAUGCCCCCUAUGACCUGGGCUACACACGUGCUACAAUGGACAGAGCAGAGGGAAGCGAAGCCGCGAGGUGGAGCGAAACCCAUAAAACUGUUCUCAGUUCGGACUGCAGUCUGCAACUCGACUGCACGAAGAUGGAAUCGCUAGUAAUCGCGAAUCAGCAUGUCGCG